CAGUCGCCGCGGUAAUACGUAGGGUGCAAGCGUUAAUCGGAAUUACUGGGCGUAAAGCGUGCGCAGGCGGUUUGUUAAGACAGAUGUGAAAUCCCCGGGCUCAACCUGGGAACUGCAUUUGUGACUGGCAAGCUAGAGUGUGGCAGAGGGGGGUGGAAUUCCGCGUGUAGCAGUGAAAUGCGUAGAUAUGCGGAGGAACACCGAUGGCGAAGGCAGCCCCCUGGGCCAACACUGACGCUCGUGCACGAAAGCGUGGGGAGCAAACAGGAUUAGAUACCCGAGUAGUCCCUGUCUCUUAUAC
rnacentral:rRNA from 1 species